rnacentral:rRNA from 1 species
UACGUAGGGUGCAAGCGUUGUCCGGAAUUAUUGGGCGUAAAGAGCUCGUAGGCGGUCUGUUGCGUCGGCUGUGAAAACCCGGGGCUCAACUCCGGGCCUGCAGCCGAUACGGGCAGACUAGAGUUCGGCAGGGGAGACUGGAAUUCCUGGUGUAGCGGUGAAAUGCGUAGAUAUCUGGAGGAAUACCGGUGGCGAAGGCGGCAUCCUGGACCGACAUUGACGCUGAGGAGCGAAAAGCUAGGGGGAGCAAACGGGG